rnacentral:rRNA from 1 species
UGAACGCUGGCGGUGUGCCUAAUACAUGCAAGUCGAGCGAACAGACGAGGAGCUUACUCCUCUGACGUUAGCGGCGGACGGGUGAGUAACACGUGGAUAACCUACCUAUAAGACUGGGAUAACUUCGGGAAACCGGAGCUAAUACCGGAUAACAUGUUGAACCGCAUGGUUCAACAGUGAAAGACGGUCUUGCUGUCACUUAUAGAUGGAUCCGCGUCGCAUUAGCUAGUUGGUAAGGUAACGGCUUACCAAGGCAACGAUGCGUAGCCGACCUGAGAGGGUGAUCGGCCACACUGGAACUGAGACACGGUCCAGACUCCUACGGGAGGCAGCAGUAGGGAAUCUUCCGCAAUGGGCGAAAGCCUGACGGAGCAACGCCGCGUGAGUGAAGAAGGUCUUCGGAUCGUAAAACUCUGUUAUUAGGGAAGAACAAAUGUGUAAGUAACUAUGCACGUCUUGACGGUACCUAAUCAGAAAGCCACGGCUAACUACGUG